rnacentral:misc_RNA from 1 species
CAACCCUCGAACCCCUCCGGGGGGUCGGCGUUGGGGAUCGGCCCUCCCUCGCGGGGGCCGUCUCCGAAAUCCAGUGGCGGUCUCGCCGCAGCCUCUCCUGCGCAGUAGUUUGCACACUCGCACCGGGAGCGCGGCGCGUCCACAGCCGUUAAACACCCAACUCUCUGAAA